ensembl:lncRNA
AUCUAUGGUCGGCACGUCUGUUAGCAUCUCUGGCUGCUGUUGAUCUUGUUUUUGGAGUAAAACACGGUGGAAGCUGAAUUAGUGAGGAUGACUCCUGCUCCUGUCAUCUCUAAGCUCCUCACACAUCUUUACCUGCACAUGAGGAAAAUCACUCCUGUAGAAUGCAGAUGUUCAGAGGGAGAUGAUGCCACAUCUGGUCCAGCUGAUGGAAGGUCUUGAAGUUCUCUGACUGGCCUCGACUGAAGAUGGUCGUCUCACUGGAUUUAAGGUUCAGAUGCUCAGUAACAAACUCCACCAAUGUGCCAACAGGGAAGCUUUAGGUUUAUUAAAUGUUGCUAUGAAGGUAUCACUGUUUUUCUUUGUGAAUGCAAUGUGCUCCAACUGAAACUUGAAUUAGAACUUAGAAGUAAAUCCUUCCAUCUGAAAGGAUUUAGUUGCAUUAAUAACCUGAUAACAUUCUAAUUUUUAUUCCAGUCUUGGUUGAAAAUAGAAUCUCUGUAUUGAUUCAGGUAAAAACUGAACUUCACAGCAUGUUGGAGCAAAACAACCAGAUGAAAACUGUGAUAGUGUUGGAUUGUCAGACCGUAAUAUUGCAGCUCAAAGCAGCUUUUCUAUCUCAGUUCAUUCUGACAUUCAGCUAUGAAUCAACACAGCAGAUGGUGAUCCAUGCUGUGGAAGUCUCACAUCUCCUGAUUUAAUGGAGCUGCUUUGCACUUUUUACACUGUUUAUUCACCAACACUUUAUUUAAUAAAAGUCCCAUCUAGUUUUUAUGAGGAAUGUGAUGUUUUAAUUUCUCUGUGAAUAACUGCAGUCUAAUGCAACAGCUGGAAUUGUAACAUCUGUCCUGAUAUUGAUCAUGAAGUAUUGAUCAGAAUACUUAUGGUCAGCAGUCAUCCCUGAAGUUUUAUAUUAAAAUCUUUACUUGUGUUGUGAACUUUGGUAAGAAGCAGAAACGUUAGCGUUGCCAUGGAUACAUGAGUGUUAAAUUCUGUCCAUGUUUCCAUUUUGGGAAAUUCAGUCCAGUUCCAGAAUGUGGAGGAAUUUAGUCUCAAUCACACACAACAAAUAUUAUCUGAAAGUCGGGUUAUUGUUGUUUAUCAGCACAAUACAAAAAGAUUAAUGUUAGAAAUAUUCCAGUUAAGACCCUAGAAUAUCAUGAUUUAUGUAAAUUUACCUCAAUAAUAUGAAUGUUCAGGUUAAGAUUGUACAGUGAUAUUUAUUGUGCAAGUUUAGCUGAUUAAAGUUUAUGACUGCACUAAAAUAUUAUUUAAAUUGACAUCAUUAUUAUAAUAUUUAGGGUCAGACCCUACAGUAUUGAGAUUAAGAAAUCAAAUAUUCUCUAAAAUGUAAAUACACUGAACUCAUUUGGAUAUAUUUAAGUGAGACUCUACAAUAUUAUUUGACACAAAUCUAUCUAAAUCAAAAUUUUAAUAAUUUUCACGCCAAACAUUUACUGGACUGAUUUAAACAUUAAAAUCAUUCCUUUCUAAUCCUCUGCUGUACGUUCAAACCUGAGGCCUUAAAUAGAAACACAGAAGUAUCUGAUUGAAGGAACUUCUGCAGAGUCCUGGUUCCAGAACAUGAUGAUAGAAUUAUGGACAAACUUUAACAAAAGCUGCCUGAGAGUUUACAGGUUUUUAUGUUGGAUUUCUUCAGUAAUUUAAUGAGAGUUAUCAGCAAAAAUCAAGUGUUUAUUUGAUGAACUUUAUUUCCUAAAACAUCCAGAAUUGGAGCUCAUAUCUUUGGCAGCUGUAAAGUUUCUGCUCCUUCAAAGUUCACAACACAAUGAAUGAAUUUCUAAAACACUCUCAGUGCUGGAGAGCGUUUG